AGAUACUUGUUAUGGUUUUUACUUCUACGUUGAAGAAAACAAAGUUAAUCUGAGUAUUAAAUUGUAGGGAUGUUAAAUUAAUACAAUAAUUCAGGAACUUUUCCCUCUUACUUAUGCACAGAUCAAAGUAAUGCUGGUAAGGACGUGGUUCUUAUCGUCAAAGUGAGAAAAGAGAAUAAUCAAAAAAGCUCAUGUCUUAUGCAAUGUUGCUGUUAUAUCACACUAUUAAAUAGCCGUAUAUUAACGAGAUAAGAUUUAAAUGAAUUCAUUUGGAUAUUCCAAACAUCUUGGACUACAAGCAAUUCAAAAACUAAAGUCAUUUUUGCAUAAUUUGCAAAAGUAGGACUGUGGUUAAAGUGGAUCAUCGCUUACUUAAAACUAUUAGUACAAUUUUGAUAAAUAUAAUAGGUUUUUGUUGAAGAACCUAGUCAAUGUAAGGUUGAAUAACUUGUUUGAGAAAACGAAUUCAGCUUCAACAUUUUUUGUUACUUAAACGAGAGUUAUUAAAAAUAUCUGUACAUCACAAAUUAUAAAAGUUUUUUUUUGCAAACAUUCUCCUCCAAGGCAUUUGUUUCAAUUCCAUUUUAUUGCAAGGGUUUACAAUUAUUCCUUAACUUUGUUGUGUAAGUUCAAAUGCAAAUAUUAAAGAUCAUAGUAAUUUUUUCCGUACCAAAUCCUCUUUACUUUUCGUUUUCUAAAUUGAAUCUUUUUUGCCGAAUUUUGAUUGUACUAACUGUCUGACCUUUGACAACCGCUACUUCCUUAGCUUUUGGAUAUUCAAGCGUCACUUCUCAACUUGCAUUUAACCUUCAAUAAAACGUACUUCUCAGCUUAGUACGCAAUCUUCAUAGCUUUAUUCCCUUUUUUGAAUUAUUUGUCUUGUUGUAUCAACCUUCAAGGUAAUUUGCUUAUAUUACGUUUAAUUAAGUAGUUUUUGGCUCGAUUCUGAGCAAAAAGUUUUAUUUUUACUCAAUUGCUUAUGGCCAUUUGUGAAAUAGUACCUCUAUAUCAUCAAAAAUCGACUGCACAGAUGGGUCUACAUACUAGAUUUUGAGUAAACACUACACAA